rnacentral:lncRNA from 1 species
UUUUUUCAAAAAUAAUACGUAUUUUCGAUUUUAUGUUGGUGAACUUUUUUUCCAACAACAUCUAUUCAUAGAUAUUAACUCUAACUUAAUUAUUAACUAAAUUUGCGUUUAAGUAUUAAAUCUAAGUGAGAAAAAGCUACACAAUAUUUACACCAAAUCCCAUUAAAUUUACUAUGAUUAAGUGAUAGAACAAUUGUGAUAUUACAUAUUAAUUAAUCAUUUUAAGCUCCAAAAUAAUAUAAAAGAAAAUAGAUACACUAUUAACAAGUGAAAUAUAGUCCGAUUUAGACUUAUUUUACACUGUAUGGUAAGAGUCACGACCCCAAAACAAGUCGUGAGUGAAACCCACACUUAACCUACUAGGUGAGCGAACCAAAAAAUUUUAAAUCCAACAUUUACCAAUAGUUUAGCUAUGAAUAACAAAAAUAAUGCGGAAGAUCAAAACUUAUUAAUGUAACCAAUUAAAUAAGAUUCUAAAGUUUAACACUUAUUAUCCCCAAAAUCUGGAAAUCAUCACAUCAAGAACAUCUAUCCUCAAAUUACCAAAUCUACGAGUAUUUAAGAAACCAAAAUAAGUAAAAAGAUGGUCCAUGUUCGAAAUUCAAAGAUAUCAAGACGUGAAUGAGAGAAUUCAGCACGAGCUAGAAAUAAUAGCUCACCCUGAACUCUGAUGUGCUAGACACUGAUUAGAUCUGAGGGCGAGUCAAAGUCGAUGGUACACUUGCUGCACUCCCUAAAAGAACAAAAAAGAAAAUACAAGUAUAGGUCAGUACAAGGAACAUGUACUGAGUAGGUAUCAUCGGUCAACUCAAAAUAGAAAUCAAUAUAUAAUGAAUAAUAGUAUAAAAUCAACUACUAUACCUAACAGGUGGCAAGCAACAAACAUAUGAACCAUUGACAACAACAUCACCAUAAUAGGUACACCAUGAAUCACAACAUCAAGCACACCUGUGAGGACUCAUGCCUCCACAACAUACUUAUAUGGAAAAUAGGUUCCUUGAGAUUAAGUAUAUUAAGUUACUUCAAGAUUCCUUGCCAUUAAUGUUAUUGUGUCGGAACGUGACACUCCGAUCCCAUAAUAUCGAGUCGGAACGUGACACUUCGAUCCCGUAAUACCUUUUCGGAACGUGACACUUCGAUCCAAUUAUCUCAUUAUUUUAUUUCAGCAAGCCUUUUUUAUUCAAGGAGUCAUUUUAAUAGAGAGGGUUCAAGAUUAGAAAUUCAACACUUUCAUAAUUUUAGGCCAACCACUAACCACACAAUAAAAACAUACAACCACGCAAUCAAGUACAUAGGAGACUCUACAAUAUCACUCAAUACAUAUCAAUCGUUAUUUAGAGUUUAUCUAUCAAAUAGAAAUAAACCAUAACUUACCUCCACCAUAGAAUCGGAGUCACGCAAGCUACUUUUACAAUACUUUUUCUUUCCUCAAUGCUUCUGAACAUUUCCAAUCUAUCAAAUAUAUAUAUGCAUAUUUAUAAGUUAACGAGACUACAGACAUCAUAUUACUCUAUGUCUAGCCUAGACCCAAAAUUCACCUAACUUUCUGUGUGUGUGUAUAUAUAUAUAUAUAUAUAUAUAUAUAUAUAUAUAUAUAUAUAUAUAUAUAUAUAUAUAUAUAUAUAUAUAUAUAUUUUCUAAAAUUCAAACCUAAGAGUAAGUCUUAAUUCCUCAACUUAGCACAAUUUUAAUAAUAAACAUAUAAUAUAAUACACCAAAUAUUUAAUUAUCUAUCUCAAUAUAUCAACCUUUAAUUUUUUAUAUCAUAACAAAAUUUUAUAAUAUUAAAAUUAGGCCACUGGUUACGAAACUAGUGGCAGAAUAGUAACACCCUGAAGACAAUUUCCUAAUUUCCCACUAACAUUAAUAAUUGAAGCCACUCGUCACGAGACCAGUGGCACACAUGCAUAAAUUCUCUUUUUCCAAAUUGUUAGUAGCAACCAUUUGCAUAUUAACCCUUAAUUCAUAAUAUGAUAUUCACAAUUGAAGCCACUAGUCACGAGGCUAGUGGCACACAUGCAUUAUCAUUUAAAAAUUCAGUAGUUAUACAGAAAACGUACCCAAAAAAAUAUAUGCACGAUGUUCUGUUGAUGUUCCCGUGAUUUUUCUUCGUUCCACCUGCUUUUCUCCGCUUCCCCUCUUUUCUUUUCUUUACAAAUUAUUUGUUACCCUAAUUAUUAUACUCAUCUAAUUAUAAUACUGAUAAAAGAUACCCACUAUUAAUUAUAAUAUUAUUUUCUUAACCAUUAACUAAAUAAAUUAGUAAAAGUACCCCAUUAAUUUCAUAGUUAUAAUAACGAAUAACCCAAAACACCCAUUUAAAAUAUAUCAGAAAAAUAUAUUUACGAAAUAAAAAGCUGUAGUAAUCAAAAUGACUAAAAGAGUCGUUACAAUAGAUAUCAAUUUACCCAUCGUUCGUCCUUGAACGAUAAAAAAGAAAGGCCUACCUGAAUCUGUAAAAAGAUGUGGAUACCUUUAUUGCAUAAUAUCCUCACUCACCUAAGUGGAGUCUUCAACUGGCCGAUUCUUCCACUGAACCAUGAUAGAUAUAAUCUCCUUUGAUCUCAACAUGCGAACCUCCCUAUCUAUAAUAGCAACAGGUUCCUCCUCAUAAGACAGAUUAUCAUCAACAAGAACUGAAUCCCAACGAAUAAUGUAUUUUCCAUCACCUUGGUAUUUUUUCAGCAUAGACACAUGAAAUACCGGGUGCACUCCUGACAGUCCAGGAGGCAAGGCUAAUUCAUAGACCACCUCCCCCAUGCGCUUAAGUACUUCAAAUGGUCCAAUAUAACUCGGACUUAGCUUACCUCUCUUAUCGCAUCUCACCUUUCAUGGGUGAAACCUUCAGCAAGACUUGUUAACCCUCCAUAAAAUCCAAGUCUCUAACCUUUCGAUCUGCAAAUUCCUUCUGCCUACUCUGAGCUGCUAAAAGCUUUUCUUGAAUAAAUUUCACUUUCUCUAAUGAUUCCCUCAGAAGAUCAGUACCCCAAGGUCUAACCUGAAAUGCAUCAAACCAACCAACGAGAGACCUAAAUCUCCUCCCAAACAAUGCCUCAAAUGGGUCCAUAUCAAUACUCGAAUGAUAGCUAUUAUUUUACGAAAUCUCUUCUAAGGGUAAGAAUUUAUCCCAAUGACCACCAAAAUCUAUCCUACACGCACGAAGCAUAUCCUCCAGCACUUGAAUCGUUGGCUCUGACUGCCCAUCGGUCUGAGGGUGAAAUGCAGUACUAAGAUCCAGUCUAGUACCUAAUUCAUCAUGUAAUGUCUUCCAAAACUUAGAUGUAAAUUGCGUACCUCUAUCUGAUAUUAUGGAAUGUGAAACUCCAUGUAAUCGAACAAUCUAAGAGACAUAGAGUUUGGCUAACUUCUGGGCAUUGUAAGUCAUCUUAACCGGAAUGAAGUGAGCAGACUUAGUUAACCUGUAAACUAUUACACAAAUAGAAUCAAACUUUCCCAAUGUCUUUGGAAGACCAACUAUGAAAUCCAUUGCAAUUUUUCCCACUUCCAUUCAGGAAUGGGCAUUCUCUAAAGUGUCCCUCCAGGCCUCUAGUGUUCAUACUUUACCUACUGAAAAUUUGGGCAUUGGGCAACAAAACCAACAGUGUCACGCUUCAUUCUGCUCCACCAAAAAUGUUGUUUUAGAUCACGAUACAUCUUGGUUUCACCAGGAUGUAUAGAAUACCUUGAACUAUGAGCCUCUGUAAGAAUAGUGUAAAUCAAAUCAUCCACACGUGGCACACAUACCUUUCCCUUAAAGCUUAUUGUAGGUAAUAGGGUCUAACCUUUCUAUAAACAUCAUCAUCAUAGAUCAAUAAGAAUUCCAUGUGUAUAAUCCUUUCAUUACAAUUCAUAUAAGUGAGGUUAACACAUUUACAUAUUAUUUCAUAAUAAGGCACAUCGAUAAAUCAUUCACCACACUUAGAACAUUUACAUCUUAGUCAACACUUCAAAAAAUUAGUCAAUACAUUUCAAUCAACAACAUACCAACCCUAUCAAUCCUAAUACAAAGCAUACUCCAAUACAACAUGAUGACUUAAUCACAAUUAAUCAUAAUUGAAGUAAUUAAUAGGGAUCACAAGACUUACCAAGUCUCCUUCAUAAUUCUUCAUCAACGUAUUAGCAUCAAACCUUAAUCCACCCAAAUAGCGUGUAUUGUCACUUUAUAACCAUAACCAACAUGAUAACUAAGCUAAUUGAAUUACUAUAUCACAAUUCAUCAGUAUUUCAUAGCUUUAAAUAAGAUACUUAGGUCAAUUAACAACAUACUUCAUAACCUAGACCAACUUCUCAAGAACUAGAAUUAUAGGACUAUAAUUCUUCCUAAUUUAGUCAUAAUUGAUACAGCAAUAUCAUCUAAUAGUAAUUCAACCAAUAAACAAUUCAAUUGAACCAAUACAAUACAAUUCAUAUCAAGAUCACAACCUUUGGUUAAGGGGUAAAGUUCAUCUUCUACAAACUAGACCAAACCAUCAAGCUAUAUCAUAAUUAAGUUAGAAUACAUUGUAGUCUAUUAUUAAUUAUCUAAAAUAAAUCAUAAACAAUUCAAUUUACAACAUCAAAUUCGUAUUGGACGAAAAUCCACUUGAAAAUCCAACUUCUGAAAUCAAUUUAAUAGAACCCUUUGAGGAAAGAGGUCUCAAAGGUGAAAGAGAUCGCAUACCUUACUAAUAGAUGAAGAUUGAUGGAGGAAAUUGACUCUUUUUAGCCCUUAAACCCUCCCUUAUCUUGGAAUUCAAUGCAGUUCUUCACUAGAGAGAGAAAGAAGAGAGAAGGAAAAGAGUUUUGGGUUUGAGAAUUAUGUGAGUUUGGGUUAAACUAAUUAGGUUAGGGAUUUAUAUAGGGGGUAACUCACUUAAUUAGACCUCCCCUAACCCCUAAUUAACUUCCUAACUAAGAAAAUUAUUUAAUUAACUUUAUCUAAAACGUGCAGUAAAAACAAG